AUGUCCAGUAUACUCAUACUGAUUGUUCUGGUGUCUUUCAGCUCAUGUUCUGACUCUCAGAAUGUUGUGACUCAGGACUCAGUAGUAUCAGUUCUCCCUGGUGGAAGUGUUGGUCUUUCCUGCAGUUGGGCUGGAAGCUCAGUAUCUGGUGGUAACUACCCACACUGGGUAUACCAGACACCUGGCAGUAUCCCUAAACUUGUUGUUGGUAGUUCCGGUACUAGCAAUCAAAACUAUAAACCCAUCUCAGACCGAUUCACUGGCUCCAUAAGUGGGGGGAAAGCCAUUCUCUCUAUCAAUAGAGCCCAGGCAGAGGAUGAUGGUGUAUAUUACUGUGCUCUGUGGAUUGGUAGUGCUCCCACAGUGUUACACAUUAAUAGGCAACCAAGAUAA